GGGAUGGACGAACCUCUGGUGCACCAGUGUCAUGCCAAUGGCACAGCUGGGUAGCCAAGUUCGGACGGGAUAAGCGCUGAAGGCAUCUAAGCGCGAAGCCCACCCCAAGAUGAGAUUUCCCACGCGGAAGCGGUAAGACCCCUGGAAGACUACCAGGUAGAUAGGCCAGAGGUGUAAGCGUCGUAAGGCGUUUAGCUGACUGGUACUAAUAGGUCGAGGGCUUGAUCUU
rfam:Caloramator australicus RC3, WGS project CAKP01000000 data, contig: 136